GAGGAGAGGAAAAAAAAAAUCUCUUCCAAAAAAGCACCGGUCUGCAGAUGUCUGCAAGAGAACCCACGAACCCUCCUUCUUCUACGGCAGGGCAGCAGUUGGCAGGAGUACCAGUUGGAGGGAAUGAAUCGUCUACGUUGGCUGUUCAUCUUUAAAAAUUGACUCUUCAGUAGCAUGUGACAAAAGCUGGAAAAUGCUUCUGCAUCUGGUUUUCUUUGGGAGGAAAGACUUUGUGAAGUGUGAGGUGUAAGGAAAGACUCAUUCCCCUUUGGAUUAUGAAAGCAGUGCUUAUAAUAAAACUGUAUGUUGUGACUCUUCAGUGGAUGGAGAAUAAAAGAAAAAAAUCUCUAUUGAAUGUGCAAUGGAAGCAAAUGUUUUUCCAGUUCAGCAGUUUCUGCUGAAUUGUAAACAAUCGGGUUGUUUCAGAAGGAGAGUAGCAUGGUCCGUAACUCCGACAGCUAGUAGUAGUUUAGUUUACUGCUUCUACCACCUGCCUUCUGACUUAAUAUUGGAAGCAAGAAGCAUGCAAUUAAGUAUGAGGAAAUGAAAAUAAAUGACACUGUUCAUUGCACAUUACAAAGUGCCUGGCAGAAAGAAUGCAGCUUGCCUGGACCUGAUGACCCCAGGGGAAAACAUGUCUCGUGCCUGGGAAAGUGCCAGCAAAUCAGACACUGACCCUGGCUUUAUCUACUAUCAAAUGUAUUGGGUUCCUUCUUAGCAAUUUGAAACUUUAUUUUAAAAAUUAUAAUUGAGUUCUGAAAAGCAGGGAGAUAUAAAAUGAAACAUGUACUGAGUAUGGGGUAGGAGCUACAGGACAACAAACGUGCAGGAGUAUUUUCUUUAUCAUUUCUUGAGGAAAGUUAUUUGGAUUACAUCCUGAAUUGGACUAAUUUGAAGUGGUUAUUAAAUUCUAAGGUUUCUAGAGGUGAAGAGGUUUUUGAAAGAUUACUUCCAUCUAUGCAGCAAUAUUGCAUUCACUGCAAUAUUACUGGGUAUAUAACUCAAAACCUCCCCUCAUUCCAGAAUCUGAGUGCUUAAAACCUGUUUAAUUUUAAAAUGUGUGGUUUGUGAAUGCUUUACUCUUUGUCCUACAUAUGGCUUAUAAAAUUGUUAGAACACAAAGUAAUACUUGUAUUUAUGUCAUUUGUCCUAAAUUAUCUAUGCAUCUUUAGAGAGGUAAGUAAAUGCUAUCCUGAUAGCAUUUACCUGAAGAAACUCGACCAUAGAGAAAUCAGAUGGCUUGCUCAGAACACGUAACACAUAAAACAGUAGUCGAAAGUGAGAUAACCAGUUGUACAAGAAAAUAAAUGUUUUCACAUAAAUCAUGUUAUUUUGCUACAGAAGUCCUAUAUGUCUUUUUUUAGAUGGAUGUAGGUGCAUUACAAAUGAAUUAACACAUUACAGAUUACUGUAAUGCAUUAAUUCAGCACUACUGUCUGAUUUAGAUGGCCAUGUAUAAAUAGUGGGGAAACUUUCAUAAUGAAAGCAGAAGCAAGUAAAGAUUUUCAUGUGUUCAUGAUCUGGUAAAAACUAGAACUCAGAUGAGAUAUGCCAAAAUUUGUAGACUUUUCAGUGAAGCUAAAUAGCUACAGAGAAUCUUAUAGAACAGAUAAUUUCAGGUAGAAAUGGUGCCAAGACUUGGUGGUUUUUAAUGAUUUCAUCUUGAAGAAAAGAGCAUCUUGGUAGCUUGAUAGGUAUUGGUUUGAGUAUAAUUUUUUUCACCCCAUAACCCAAAGUAAAACUCAAGGGUGCAAAUUCAGAAGGAAUUGAAACCUUUUAGGGAGUCACAGACCCUCCAUUCCAAAACCACCAACUUUCACUUUUCUGGCUGUAUGCAAGUACAUUGAUCUUCUUUUUCUUAAAUAUUGUAUUCACCUCUGUAGAAGGAUUUUUUUCAUAUUUCAACCAAAUUUUAGGUCAGUUCCUCACAUUCUAUGAAAGACAGUCUUCUUUACUGCACUUCUUCACAGGACUUUUCCCAGUAGGAAAAAAAAAGGUAUUUGCAUGUCAGUCAUUGAGUCUCUGUGAGUUAAAAAUCAUGUCUUUCAGAUAUGCUUUCUAUCCCUAGUCCUGCACAACAUGAAAUAUGGUUGACAGCUAUAUUACCACACUGCAGAUUGCAAAGCAAUUCACAUUCACACUUCUAAGUGCCUCUCCUUUCAAGACUUAUGGAUGUGUGCCAAAUUACUUGCAUUGUGGUAUAUGGCCUUCUAUAUGUACUUUAUAGAAUAGGUCUCUGGUUUCCAUUAAAAUCAAUGAAGUAGAGACCAAAAGAGCUUUUCUGAAGUGUUUACUAGAUGUCAGACAAGGUUAAUAAUAAAAUAGUUCAUGUAUAAUAUGCAUCUUCAAUAUAUUUCAGUAUUUAUCUUUAAGAUAUUUUCUGAAUUUAGGAUGGAAAUUCCUCAGCUAAGUUUAAAUGUUGAGUAGCGUUAAGUUCAGCUGUCAUUGUUUACUCCCCAUUAGUGUCUCUGUAAAAAAUGAAUAUAUGAUUUCAUACCCUAUUUAAGGAAGUGCUUCCAAACAUAAUGGACCAGUAACCAUUUAAGGACUCUAAGGUCUUGUGCUAAUCAAAUCAUUAUGGUUAUCUCAAAUGAAAUGGGAAAGACAGAAGAUGCCCUAAAAUGCCAUUUCUUCUAGACAAAUUAGUGACUAUGCCAUGUCACAAAGCCUCAUUAUUAGUCACUAUUUCAUUACAGCAGUUCUUUGUCAGACAAGUUAAAGUGGAUUAUCAGCAGUGAUAUUAUAAUAAUAUGAUUAAUUUAUUAAUAAUUAUUGAAAUAUUAGUGUGAUUGUUUUCAGGCAUAUUACUAUGGUAAAUGAGGCUAAAUGGUGGGGGGUAAAAAUAAAGACCUGUGACAAACAUUACAGUGACAAGCUCAAUUAUGGGAGAGAGAAGAUAAGAGAGAUGCUCUAAAGUUAUCUGAGUGAAAUAUGGACUCAAGUGAAUUUAGUCAGUGUGAUUAAAAUGGACUUAAAGUGGGAGGAAAGACAUUAAAAUAAGUGUAUGAUGGUGGAGGGUACAUUUCACCUUUCUAUUUUUUUUUCAAUUAUAUUAUUAAAGUUUCCCUUAGGACUACAGUACCUAGAAGAAAGCAGCAAUACAGUUUUAAAAUUGUCUUGAGAUUUAGAGAGGGGGAAAAAAGAAAUACAUGGAAGUCAUUAUCACUGGCUUUUGUCAGUAAUCCUAAAUGCAUGAGGUUUUUGUUCUUGUCAAAGGAUGUGUUUAACCACAGUGGGAAAUGUGUAAGUAGGGCUAGUGACUUGUUUUUCCAAAUAACAUUGUAUUUUUGUAGCCCAGAGUUCCACUAAGUUGUGUGCUCCAAAGGAUAAAUGAAUUACAUGCAGUGUUUUUCACUUGAACUUUACCAUAUGUGAAAAUUGUUGGUCUGUACCUCAAAGAUGUUCUGUAAAAUCAUCUACUGUGGUUAGGAAACGUCAGCAUGUCCAUUUAUCAAAAUAACUUGGAAGAAAAUAUAGUGAACAGGGACCUAAAUGUACUGGAGCAAUUGCACUAGGUAAUUCUCCAAAAGUAAGUUUGAAAGUGAAGCAAACUGAUGCCGUUUAGAAAAAUACUAGUCUAGUUAGUAAGACAGAAAGUUUGCUGGCUAAUUUCAAAAUACAGAAAAGAAAUUUCUGGAUAUUAAAUUUAGUUUUUAAGAAUUCCUGUACCGGAGCACACUUCCCCUUUGUCUCUGAAAAUAACCCAUGGAGGGUAGCAGUAGAUUCCAGCAAACGGUGUGAGUACAGCAUGGUCUUUCAUUUGAUGUGCCCACGUAUGCUCGGCAGUUGCUUCUCGUAGACCCAACCUCCACGAGCCUCAUCUAAUCUCUUGCAACAACUAUCAAGUGUGUCACAGCAAGAAAGUUUGUCCACUGAAGUGGUGGAAUGGAAAAACAGAAUCUCACAAGUAAGAAAUAUUUAUGCUUCCUUCACCAAGCUGUAAAGAGUCACCCAUGGUUACAUAAGCCUUUCCUGCAGGGUUUCAGCAGCUCUAAACAUCCUUAACUAAGGUGACAAAAAUCAACAAAAGUACCAAAAAAUAAGAUGUAAACAGCAUAAAGACAAAUGAAGGCAGAAAAAUUAAACUUGCAAAAAAAUUUGCAGACAUCCUUUAUGUUAAAAUAACUAAAAUUAAAAAAAGAAUAAAAAUAGAGGUGUUCUUAGUUCUUUGCCCAGGCUUUCUCUUCCAUUUCAACCAGAUGCUGGAGAUGAGGAAAAUGUGGACAAAUAAGAUGCCUGAAGUGGUUUAGAAUGAGCAUUAAUGUAAGAUGCAUUUUUGAGUCCAUAGGAAGUUUCUUGGUAAUAGCAGUGAACCAGAGAAAAAUGAAUUUCCACUCAGAACUACUGAUGCUAAAGUUGAAUCCUGCACAGAUUGCUGGAGAAACAACCUUUCUAGAAAAUAUAGGAAAAUUAUGGCACAACAGUGACUGCCACCUGCUGCAGUCCUGAGAUAAAAUGAGGGUGCCAGGAUAUUAUUUCCCAGCUGUUAUUAGCUCAUUGGUGGUUUCUGUAAAUGUGCUCCAAGACAACUGCUCUGGAGACAGCUAACCAGAUUUUCAGCUCUUGACAAAAAAAGACAUUAUGAGUGUGAGGAAAAUAUCAAAUUCUCGCUCCAAGUCCCUGGUCUCCUGUGCAAGGACCUCAUGCCAAAAUAUUUUCAACUACCUCUUUAAUUUGUCUAUUUUUGUCAUUUACUGUUAGCCCAAAAGACCACAGCAAGCCCAGAACUAUGGUAUAAUAAAAUCCAGUGUUUCUUAAAAAAUAUUGAGAGCAAGUUUAUAUACUUAUCCAACAGAAACAUUGGAGACAGCUUUCUACAUUUUUGGUUUAACUUGAAAGCAUAGACCAAAGUCAUGGCUGCUGGUCCAGAGCUGCAAAAUAUAGCAAAGCCAGCAUUCAAACAUGGCUGGUAGAAGCUGAGGAUGCUCAUAUUUCUUCACAGUGCACACGUAAGUGUGGUCUAGUGUGAUGGCAAGUCUACCACAGAACAUAUCUUGCCUUUUUGGCCUCAGAAUUUUAUGGAAAAUUAAGAAGUUGCUAUUGGCAAAUGUGUAUAAAACAAUGUUGAAAAAAUAAGGGGAGGUGGUGAUUUUUUACAGUGGAAAAGAAAAAUCUCUUCAUAAGACAAAAAAGGUGAUCUAUUAGCAUAAUAAUGUCAUCAAAGAGCAAGUGUUAUAGUAUUUUAUAUUUUUACACUGCUGUUCCAUAAGCAUACAACAAUAGCAGGUUAAUAUAUCAAAUGUAUACGUAAAGUCUUCCCACUGUGCAUAACUGUUCCAUAUAUUACUGUUAUAUCUUCUGAGAUUAAGUAAACACAGAAUGUAAUGUACUGUACAUAAAUAUAGCACUACUUAAUCAUAAUAAAAAUUUAAAAAUACCUUUUUACCAUGAGAACUGUGUCAGACUCUCUCAGGGAAAAUGUUGGUUAGCUGAAAUGAGAAGGCUUUUUUCUUUUACCAGAAAUAUACCAAUUUCAGCAUAACUUGAGUUUCAAGAAGGAUUUUCUGGUUAAACCUGAAUAAAACCUAACAUAGACAACCAGCCAAUGGAUGUCUGUGAACCAGAAGGGAACAAAGGUCAGUUUGUUCUGUCUUUUUUACAUAAGAAGCUUGAACCUGGAUUUUCCACUUAGGUGAAUGCGCUCCCUCUUGCUGGUAGUUUCAGUUUCCCCCACCAAAUGUGCUCCCAUCAUUUUAAAUCUGUAAGUGACCAUUUGAAAGGUGGAGCCUCAGACCACUUCUAGCAUAGCAACAGGGGAACUCAAGGGGAGGAAAUGAUGUUUGUGUUCUCAGAAAACUUUUGCAUAUUUCCAAAAUCAGAGUUCUGACAAAUUUGAAAGUAACAAGGGUUUGAAAGUUAAAAAAAAAAGGGAAAUUUGAAAGAUAUUCAUGCAUUCUUGAAAUAGCAGUAUUUCAAUAGGUAAACACUGCAACAGUAAGCAACCUCGUUAUUUACUGUAAAGGAAGUAGCACUGCAUACCAGAAUGUGGUCCAUGUUUGUAAUCUGUGGAGACAGUGACAACUUCUUGUUAUGGCUGAGAAGAGUACGAAUUCACUACCUUCUACAGACUUCUGGAAAAGCACACUCCACUAUGCCAGCUCUGGCAGGUCUGCCCAUGCAGCAGGCAGCCGAAUGUCAAAGCCUAUUGCAAAUCCACCAAAGUGACAAUGAAGAGUUCAGGGCUGCAUGGGCUGAAGACAACAUGAAAGAGAAAAAAAAUGAAGCCGCUAUAUUUACUUCUGUGGCCUUGUAUGAGUCUGCCAUAUUACCUUCUUACCCUGCAUUCAUUUCACUAUCAGGCAAUCUCCUGAAACACAAUUUCUUUGCUUGUCCCCUUGAUAGAACACUUUACUUUAUUUAAA